rnacentral:rRNA from 1 species
AGACAGCAGUCGCCACGGUAAAACGGAGGAUCCAAGCGUUAUCCGGAAUCAUUGGGUUUAAAGGGUCCGUAGGCGGUCUUGUAAGUCAGUGGUGAAAGCCCAUCGCUCAACGGUGGAACGGCCAUUGAUACUGCAGGACUUGAAUUAUUGGGAAGUAACUAGAAUAUGUAGUGUAGCGGUGAAAUGCUUAGAGAUUACAUGGAAUACCAAUUGCGAAGGCAGGUUACUACCAAUUGAUUGACGCUGAUGGACGAAAGCGUGGGUAGCGAACAGGAUUAGAUACCCGCGUAGUCCCUGUCUCUUAUAC